rnacentral:misc_RNA from 1 species
GUUGAGUCUGAUGAGGAACUUUCUAUAGUUACUGGAGCCCAAUUACAAGUUGAGAAUUCUGGAUUUAAAAAUAUUCUCUUUUUGCGACUGCGAUUCUCAACUGUGUUGGGAGCGACAAUUGUAAAGCAUCCAGAGUGGGAUGGAUCACCAGGUUUGGCACCUAAAUCUGGCCUCAUAUCAACAUUAAUCAGCCAUCACUUCACAUCAGUUCAGAAGCCACCACCACGACCGGCUGAUGUGAACAUAAAUUCAGCUGUGUACCCUGG